CUCGCAUACGAUUAAUUUUUAGAUUAUCGAUCGGGUGACGAAAAACAAAGAAAUAAAAACGCUUGGCCUAAUGGGGCGCUAAUGAUUUCCAUUUUGCAAGGCAUGUCAUGUCGGUGUGUGAUUUGUCCUAGGCUCUGCUUUGGCAGUGGCAGCACUUUCACGUCAGUGCAUGCAGUGUUACAUCAGUAGAUCUACGCAGUUUUUUUCAUAUUUUUUUAUUAUCACCUCAGGAAUGCCACGUAUACUGCUCUUUUGUCUCCGAAACUUUGAAAAUUCUCCGUGAAGUCCAAAUUUGAAACAUCAGGAAUGAUGCUCAUUAUUCUAUAGCGCUGUGUGGUGCAGAAACAACGGUUUGUUGUUGCUGUGUUGUAUGUUCUGGAACAGGUUCUCUUCAACGUCACGAGUCUAUCAAAAGUUGUCGCCUUUGGCAUUUGCUUUUUACCUACUAGUAUGUACCAGCCUACAACUUACUUAGUACAAGUACUUGCAAGCAGUAGUAGCGAUUGCUAUGUAGACCGAGUCAGCGGUCAGCGGUUGGUGUUCGCUAUUCAGGACUUGGCUGCGGAAAAAGAUUUGGUUGGAAGGAGCUACUGGUAGCUAAAAUUUACAUGCAAGCGAAGCGUCAGCAUGUCGGGAACAAAGGUACGCUAGUCGCUAGACCGGCUAUGUAAAGUUAGCAGUUAUGUUACCUGUACUACAACUAAGUAUAGCAACGAAGUCAAGACGCUUGCAACGAGCUUGAAACGGCAACGUCGUUACACGUAGCAGGUCAACACAGUAUGUCUUUGGAAGACGGAGUUCAACUUCGGUCAAGAAGUCCAGCAGCCACCAAGCGAACUGGCAUGGCUAGCAGUGGCCUCUGACAUAACGUCGAAAGUUCGGUCUUCGGACCUGUCCAUCGUGUCACAUCGUUUGUGACUUCUGUGGCUAUCCGUACACCGACCGACCUGCAGUGCAGACUGGAUAUGAGUGCGUUUGCAUACCAUGCCUUCGUUAUUAUUAUCAUUUUUUUUUGUAAACUGUCACCAAUAUCGACACGGACACGAAGCUGGCGAGCGACAGAAUAUGGAUAAGUGCAAAACGUACCAUUCUCACGCUAUCCAUUAGCCGACUGCGGCGUGCAGACCCUCAUCCGGAGUCAUUGCUGUUCGUUCAGUAGCCACUCAGUGGCACGGCAGAGAAAGCCACGAGCGAUGCGGAUGGCGUAGCAAAUCUGCUGAAGGAGGCAGUAAGAAACCCCGUCCAGCCGUUAAGCCAAAGCCAGUGGCUGGUUCUCGUCCUGCACACCUACGACAGCAAAUAUCCAAACCUGAAGAAGAGGUAGUGGAACCACCGUCGUCUUUUGAAAAGGACCCAAUACCAGGAUUAAUGGUACAUACUCUACUUCGUCGAGCACCCGGUUCGACAGGAAGACGCUUGCCAACUCGGCGUAGCACGGCUGCCAAGUCAGACUCUCUCUUUGUCAUGUAAUGUAUCAGAGAGGCUGAAACACUGAAACUGUCAAGUUGGAGGAGCUUUGAGAACUGCAAUAGAGUAUACCGAAAUUAUCAGUAAGUUGGUGAAAUCAAGGACUAGCUGUGCACUACACUGGUCUGGCAUGGUGCUGUUGCUGCUACAGUGUAGUAGUGGUGUACUGCGCUGCACUGGUUAGGCUAACGAGGUGAUCCUGCUAGUUGUGUAUUGCACUGCGCUGGUUAGGCUAACGUGGAGAUCCUGCUCAAGACCGGGGCGCUCUUGCUAGCCUCCAUGUUGCUGUUGUUCCCGGUCUUGGAAUCAGCUAACAGUUAUCAGCUAUGCGUGGUACUUGUGUGUCAUAUCUACUAGAUGUUCUGAUUUUGGCAAGUGAUUCUUUCCCCGCCCCCGCAGCCCCUUUUGCUUUCAGAAUAUUAUUAAUUCUUACAAAAUAAAACUGUUGUGCCGUAGGUAGUAUCAGGGGCGGAUCCAGGGGGUGCGAAGGGUGCAAAUGAACCCGUCAGGAUUUUCCAAAAAAAAAAAAAAAAAAAGCCAGGCCAGGCCCAGGCUCGCUGCGCGGAUCCGCGGAUGAUUUGUGUGCAAUCACGUGAUCGUUCUGGACACGUGCUCGCGCCAGGGCUGCACAUUUGGAAUAGAACUUUUUUGGAACUAACUGUUACUUUUUCACCGGCAACAAAGGCACUUCGAAGUUCUUUACUUUUGACGUUGCAUGUUUCAGUUGUCGUGUUAGCUUCAGGGAGUCGUCAUAUACCGGUAUUUGACGACUCCCUGAUUAGCUUCUUUCAAAUUCUCACUGCUUGUUCCGACUCCGUUUCCGUGCAUGCUGAGCGGAGAUGUCGGACACAGCUGGUGGACCAGCUGGUGAGACCAUCGAGCCUGCUGCUAAGCGUCGUUGUUAGAGCCCGGCAUCAUCCUUUUGACAUUGGGCGAUUUGCUGGAUUGAUGGAGAAUGCCAGCAAUGAUGACAUCAAGUCGCUCCUAGAUAAUGUUUGGAAGCCUUCGAACCGAACACACAUAACAUACUAUGUCUUUGGUUUACUAUUGCAAAAAAAAAUAUGUAAGUUUCAUCCUCGCACCCCUCAGCUUUGGGGUCUGGAUCCGCCCCUGAGUAUGUGCUGCAACAGUACGUCUAUUAUAUUACGAUUUGGAAAGUCUUGAAUUAUCGUUUCAUAGCCCCAUUCCUGAAGAUCGUUGAAUGACAUUGUGGAAUUACUCCCCUCUUUUAAUCAAUUUCCUUCUCAGAGUGACUCUGAUUCCUGCAUUUUGGUGAAUGGUGUGCAUAUCAAUAUUGUGCUGUUUGCAUAGUGCACGGUUAUUCCAUCACACCCUACAUGAUAGAUGUAUGGACUGGCAAUAGCCGUAGCAGCGUGCACUAAUGUGCCUGCUGCUGCACCCUAGCAUCCUGCACACUGUGGUAGCACUCAAGACCGUGAAUGUCAUUCUGCUAUUAAUAAACCAGUAUGUACACGCACGUGGAAAUGACAUCGUGCUGUUGAUCCACCGUUGUCUUUGUCAUAUUCCAGUGGUAUGCAGCUGCACUCAGUCUUUCACUUACUUCUCAUUGUUAUGUAGACCGCCCUUUCCCUAGUUAUGCUUUUAUCUCCUUUCAAGUCAAUCAUAAUAAUUAUGUAUGGAUACUUUUUUACACCGUUGAUGCAGAUCAUGAUUUUGAAUUCAGUGACAUUUCAGUCUCUUGAAUACUCGUAUGCUGUGCGCCCAGGAGUGCUGGAUACCUUGGCAACAAUCA